rnacentral:rRNA from 1 species
UACGGAGGGUGCAAGCGUUAUCCGGAUUCACUGGGUUUAAAGGGUGCGUAGGUGGAUCGGUAAGUCCGUGGUGAAAUCCCCGAGCUUAACUCGGGAACUGCCGUGGAUACUAUCGAUCUUGAAUACUGUGGAGGUAAGCGGAAUAUGUCAUGUAGCGGUGAAAUGCUUAGAUAUGACAUAGAACACCGAUAGCGAAGGCAGCUUGCUAGACAGUUAUUGACACUGAGGCACGAAAGCGUGGGGAGCAAACAGG